CCUCGUUCCCCUGUAUUCCUACGUGAGCUGGGACCCAGAAAAACCCAACAGUAUUCCCCAACUUAGAUACUCGAUUUAGCAUAAUCAAUAUUUCUACUAUUAGGUCUGGUCUGGCCCCACCUUUCCCACCUUUCAGUGCCAUUAGUGCUGCAGAAGAAUCUGAACAUACAAUGACUUUUCCUGGCCUAACUUCCUCCACCCACCCGAGCGCCCACAAAAUUACCACCAGCUCUGAAGUGAAAACUGACACAUGAUUUGAUAUCCGCUUUCCGAGAUGUAUCUGCAAUUGCGGAAUGCUUACUCCUAUGGCAUCUUUUCCAUUAUUCAGAUUCUUGGAACCAUAAGUGUAAACAUGCAGGAAAUCAGGUCAUUUAGAUUGAAUACACAAAUGCCCGCUGUCAAGCUAACAUCUUCCAGCAACGUCGUGGCAGAAACGUAAUUAUCUAACGUUAGCUAUAGUCUGAGUUCUUCAUGCUGAGUCACCGUAAGCCUAACGUUACGGUGCUGGCUACUGACUCCUGAAGGAUGCUUCAUCAUUUCACGGAUCUGAACCAUUUUACUUGCAGUUCAGGAAAGACAGAUGCCCUAAGAUGUGCAAAUAGGCAACUCCAGUGAGUUACUCUGUUAUAACCUGGAAUGGACUUGGGAUAUCUUGCUUUCAUGAUCAAAGGCAGCGGCAUCCCUGGGAAUUACACGUGUCAACACCCGUACGAGUGCCUCCAGUCCCGGAAGAAGGACCUUUUUGAGCCAUGGGAGCAGUCUCUGGAACAGUCUCCUCUGUCCUGUGUUUCUCUGAGGGGAAAAUGGGGUGCAAUUAGGUUUCAGUUGUGGUUUCGAAAUGUACGGGUUUCAAAAUGUCAUUUUCACCAAUUGCCUAGGCAGGCUAUAAACAUUUAAAUGUCAUCAAUAAGAGUAACUUAUAACAUCCAAUUGUACUGAAUUAGCAUACCUUGUGUGAAUAUUAAGACUUUUAGGUGUAUCCCCGCUGUGUUCGUUUUUUCCCCUCCCACCGGGUUAAAUGUAACAUUUCAACCCUUCACUCCCGGUACUUUCUGUCAAAUUUCCAGGGAAUGGUAUGUAACAGAAGUUUCAUUGUGGUAUGUAAUCAUAGUUGGGAUGUUGGUGGUUUGUAUUAAAAAUGAUAAUCUGGUUGUAGUUACAUUUUCAGAAUUGAGCCAAAUACGAAAA